CUUCUGAUUGUUGUGACCAUUCAGUAAAUUUAUGGGAUAUAUCCAAUGUGGUAUUUGUGGAGACAGAGUAUUAUCUGCUCCUAUAGUUUAUUCGCAAUGAUAAAACAAGAAAACUAAUAUCUCUGAUCAGGCCGAAUUCAGUAUCUUUUAUCAGGCCAAGGGAGAAGGAGAUAUAAAAGAGUCAUGGGUUUUUGAUGCUUUGCAACUUGGAUGAUGCAAAAAAGUUAGGUUCUAUAGGAACCAGUAGAUCCCAAUACAUCAAAUGCCAAGGCCAUUGAUCUAAUUGUUUGCCACUGGCAUCAAGCCAUACUUUGCGAGGUAUAGCUUGAAUUCUAGCCCAUCCUUUUCUGUUCUCGAAA